GUGCUCUCUUUGGCAGCACAUAUACUAAAAUUCAAAUGAUACACAGAUUGGCAUGACUCUUGUGCAAGGGCAAUGCACAAAACCAUGAAGCUUUCAUAUUUUUA